UUUUUCUCUGCUGGGCUUGUAUAGGUGAUGAAUGGCAGGCAAUUCAAGGUAACAGUCUCUGAUAAAGGGCCAGAAGACCAGCAUCCCACAGAUGAUCUAUUCCAAGAGCAAGGAAAACAUCAGAACCAAUUCUUACUGCUAUUCAUUACUACGUGCUUAGAAUGUGCCAGGCACCAGCUUCACAUAAACUGUCUGCUUUGAUCAGGUCAACGACUCUGAGGCAGGUAACUGUUUCGGAACCAGGCUGGAACUCUGGCGGAAAAGCCAAGUGGCCCUCAGAGAUCUUGGUGAAGAUUUAUUUUACACCAGCGGGCUCAGAGGAGACUGUUUCUCCAAAGGUCUGGGGGUGGGACUAGAAAUUCCAGUCCUGUCAUCAGCUGGCCCAAUCUCAGAUCUGACCCACAAAAGAAGAAGCAAACAGAGAGGAGACGAGUAACUCAGGAAAAAGAGGAAGGCAUGUGUGUGAUCUUGGCAACAACCUGUUUUCAAGAGAACCAAGCGGAGCACAUAGAGAACACGACAGAACAC